rnacentral:rRNA from 1 species
CCUCAGAUCAGGUAGGAUUACCCGCUGAACUUAAGCAUAUCAAUAAGCGGAGGAAGAGAAACAAACAUGGAUUCCCCUAGUAGCGGCGAGCGAAGCGGGAUGAGCCCAGAUUUGAAAGCUCCCACCAGGGCGCAUUGUAACCUGGAGACGCACCUCGAGCAGUGCGGCCGGACCCAAGUCUGCUGGAAAGCAGCAUCAGAGAGGGUGAAAAUCCCGUGCUUGGCCUGGCUUGUGCUGUGUUGUGGGGUGCGCUCGACGAGUCGCGUUGUUUGGGAAUGCAGCGCAAAGACGGGUGGUAAACGCCAUCCAAGGCUAAAUAUUGGGGAGAGACCGAUAGCGAACAAGUACCGUGAGGGAAAGAUGAAAAGAACUUUGGAAAGAGAGUUAAACAGUACGUGAAAUUGCCAAAAGGGAAGCGCUUGCAGUCAGUGCCGUAGUGCUUGUCGUUCUCCAGGUGUCUGCCUGGGUAUGCGGCUUGCAUGGGGCCCGCGGGAUGUUUCCGGUGGGGGAGAAGGCUGUGCGGAACGUGGCUCUUUCGGGAGUGUUAUAGCCGCGCAGUGGAUACCUUGCUGGGGACGGUCGCGGGCUUAAUGGCUGUCAGCGGCCCGUCUUGAAACACGGACC